rnacentral:rRNA from 1 species
UACGAGGGGGGCAAGCGUUGUUCGGAAUUAUUGGGCGUAAAGGGCGCGUAGGCGGUGUCGCAAGUCCGUGGUGAAAUCUCUAGGCUCAACUUAGAGACUGCCGCGGAAACUGCGGUGCUUGAGACCGGGAGAGGUGAGUGGAAUUCCCAGUGUAGCGGUGAAAUGCGUAGAUAUUGGGAGGAACACUAGUGGCGAAGGCGGCUCACUGGACCGGUACUGACGCUGAUGCGCGAAAGCGUGGGGAGCAAACGGG